rnacentral:sRNA from 1 species
UACAUUCCACCCCCAUUUGUUUUAGCAACCAAUUAUGCAGUUUUGAAGCUGCCCUGGGUGCUCCCUGUAGCCACACUACUGUUGUGAUUUUUGCUUCUCCAUGUCUUUUCCAGGGUUCUCUCGCAUCGGAUGCGAUCUUUCUGUUGGUCUUUCAGACACACAUCCACAACUGAGGUACCACCAGUGCUGCAGCGGGUACAUGGGGAUCGGCAGCAGUGCCAGGACACUGAGGAAGGUGACCCAGCCCAGGGCUAUCCUCUGACCCAAGCCAGAGAGAGGUUCUGGAACGCCACGAUCAUGAUGAGGACCAUGGGGACCAGGUGGUCAUCGAACAGGA